CUGGCUACUUAAUAUUCAGACAGAUGUUGAAUGUGCCUCGUUCUGUGUGCAGGCUUCAAAUUUCCUGCUAAACAAGAUUAAACAAGUCUGAGAUAAAUCCAACUUGAUGACAGUUUAUGACACGACUUCACAAUGCGACUUAACCAGUCCCUGGACAGAUAGCCUGAUGAAGACGGUGUCCUGUGCAGGAACUGAACCACCGACACAGACUUCAUCGACUUGAAUGCGGAUGUUCUCCACGGCGCAGUGACACUGAUUAAGGAACUGGAACCUCUGGAUGUGCUCAUUUUAAAGCAAACGCGCUUCUGCAAAAUUCUGCGACUCGUCAACAUUUGGUCGGGAAAGAGGGGGGGGAGGGGGUCCUUUCAAAAGUCGCGAGCUAUACUUUUUAGAAGAUUUUUAUUUUUUCCAGCAGAAAAAUGGGAAGCACAGUGAUGGACUCCAAGAAAAAGCACUGUACAAAGAAGUCAUCAAAGAAAAAGCGAUCUCUGCGACUAAACAUGCCAAAUUUGAGUACAUUUGCAUCCCCUCUUGUGGAUGGAGAGGCAGACAGAUCAGAUGAGGAUGAGAUGCGAAAGGGUGAGAGAAGUGGUUCAGCCACCCCUCCAUGUUUCAGGUCUCCUGUCAACCUGCCCUGUACCCCAGUUUCAGCCCCUGAUUGUGCCAGGAGCAGUCCAGGCUCUCCCAAAACCAUCUUCUCCCGUCCAUUGUCAUCUCACCAGAACUCACCUCCCAAAUCUCCCCAUCGUCUCAGUUUCAGUGGUAUUUUCCGCUCCUCAUCCAACUCAGCUCCUGCCAGCAUCAAGUUCUUCUCCAGAUCCAGAAAAGGUUCUGGACUUUCCACUACCCCAACCACCCCGACGCAGAGUCCAGUUCCACCAGUCUUCCCUUUGGAGACUCCCGAUCCACCGGAAAGUGUGGAGGAACGGCGCACCCGCUCUUUCUCAUCUCCCCCUGAUACAGGUCAGCGCUUCAGCCUGACCCCCUCCUCCUCCUCCAAACCCCCUAUCGCCUCGUACACCUUUAACUCUACCUCACACCAGAGUUGUGGAAUUUAUGAGGGCUUACUGGAAAAACUUGAACUUGAUGAUGAAGCUGCUGAAGAGCCAGACAGUGACAUUUACAUGCGCUUUAUGAAAUCCCAAAAGUGCUAUGACCUCAUCCCCACCAGCUCCAAACUAGUGGUCUUUGACACUACACUACAGGUAAAGAAAGCUUUCUUUGCCCUGGUUGCUAAUGGAGUUCGAGCUGCCCCAUUGUGGGAAACCAAAAAGCAAACCUUUGUGGGAAUGUUAACCAUCACAGAUUUCAUCAUCAUACUGCACAGAUACUAUAAGUCACCGCUGGUGCAAAUAUAUGAGCUGGAGGAGCAUAAAAUUCAGACUUGGAGAGAACUUUACUUGCAAGAAACUUUUAAACCUUUAGUCAGCAUAUCUCCAGAUGCGAGUAUAUUCAAUGCUGUUUACUCACUCAUCAAAAAUAAGAUCCAUCGUUUGCCAGUGAUCGAUCCAGUCACUGGAAAUGCCCUGUAUAUCCUCACACACAAGAGAAUCCUCAAGUUUCUGCAGCUCUUUGUGUGUGAGAUGCCUAAACCAGCCUUCAUGAGACAGAAUCUAGAGGAACUGGGCAUUGGCACAUACAGCAACAUAGCUUUCAUUCACCCAGACACACCCAUUAUUAAAGCACUGGGCAUCUUUGUGGAGAGGAGAAUAUCUGCCCUGCCUGUGGUGGAUGUUGCAGGAAAGGUUGUGGACAUUUACUCCAAGUUUGAUGUCAUUAACCUAGCUGCUGAGAAGACCUACAAUAACCUGGACAUCACCGUGACUCAGGCUCUGCUGCAUCGCUCACAGUACUUUGAGGGGGUUAUGAAGUGUUACCGGCACGAGACUCUGGAGACCAUAGUGGACAGAAUUGUCAAAGCCGAGGUGCACAGGCUGGUGGUGGUGGAUGAUAACUCCAGUAUUGAGGGAAUAAUCUCUUUGUCUGACAUCCUGCAGGCGUUGGUACUCACCCCCGCAGGUAUAGACGCACAGAAUUCCUAAUCCCACCUUCCAUUUCACCUUUCCUUCUCUCUACUCCACUCUUCCCCAGACCCACCUUUCCUUCCCUGGACAUCUUCCACAUAAGUGUCCCUCUCUGACCCCCUAAGCACAGGAGGACACAGGAGGUACAGUGUGACUGAAUGACAAGACAAAAGACAUUUUGAAGGUGUAAGAGACAUAAAAGAAACUUUCCAAUUGGAGUACCGACUGCUCCAGACAGAGUUCCUGAUCCUGACCGUGCAUAGAAAAGGACAGCUGGAAGCACCAAGAUGCAUUUUAGAUCUUCUUUUAAGUGUUGAAACUGGGUAGUGCCCUGAACAAUAUCUGCUGCUGUAAUGGAUAUAUGAUCCUAAAGCACAAAUGUUUAUGGUGGGCCAGCCCUCAAAAUCUGCCGCUACACUGUACACACUGCUCUGAAUGCUGGGCAUGUUUGCCUGGUCGUGCUGCUGGUUUUGAAAUCCCUCAUUGUCAGUGCUAAAUCAGGCCUGGGGAGGAAAUCUUCUUUUGAAUUCCAGCAGGGUCUGCGUUAUAUCAUCGGGCACUGUAAUCCACUCUUGGCUGGGUGUCAGAAGUGGAAACUUGCCUUAAAUGAAGACCUCGCCAAGAGUUGAUUGUAUCGGUUAGCUCAGACUAUAGACAUGCAUGUAGUGUAAAAGCAGGCUGUUGAUUUUUGUGCAGUAGGCAACAGUUGUCAAUAACUUUCAACCUGCUAGUAGAUUUUGCAAGUACAUCCUGUAGAAAUGUUGUUAAAUGAAUGUUUGGGGGCUUUAUUUUUUGUUUGUUUUGUUUUGUUGUUAGAAAAAUGCUUACUGAAUGGGUGCAUCUCAAAAAAAUGUCCAGGUAACCCCAAAACCACAAAAAUUAAAUAUAAUAAAUUAUAUUUGCAUAAUGCAAAAAAAGCCUAUUUUUAAGACCAUUCAACUUUAUUUACAUGUUUUUAUUUUUAUUUUGUAUUACUUUUAUUGUAGUUAUUACCAUUAUUCUCAGUGGUGAUUCUCAUUACUGUAAUAGUUAUUUUUUACUACAGUACUACAAUUAUUUUCUAUUAUAUAACAACUAUAAUAAACUAUCAUGAUGUAAAAAUUCAAUUUAAGUAAUGUUUUCUUUUUUUUUUUUUUUUUUUUUUUUUUUUUCACAUUACAAAAAAUCUUAAGGCACAAAAUAGGCAUAAUUUUCUUAAAAUAUUUCAUAUUUAUUUUGGGGUGAAAUAAGUCCCGGACAUGUUCUAGACAGGUUUCAUGAGACUAAAACUGCUGAUUUUGCUGUUCAGCAUUGGUCUACUACUAUAUAAAUUGUGCCUUUGACCCCUUAUAAGUUGUCAAUAGAGAAAUGAAUGUACUACCUAACAGAAUUGUACACUGACUGUCGCGGGCUGUAUUUUUACUGGAACAAAUUUAAAGUGCUUUGAAAAGAAGCUAUAUAUACAGAGCUUUAUUUUUCUAUUGUAACUUUUGCUGAUUUGGAAAACCAUGUGCACUACCGAUCCUAUGCACUAAAUAGCGCAUGAAUGUUAAAGCUUGCAGGUACAGAUCCAAAAUAACUGUGCUUCUUUGCAUCCCAGUAAUAUGCUGAUCUACUGUAAAUGCAACUGCUCUAAGAACACAUGCCUUAUAAUGUUGUACUGGUAUGGAUUUAAAAAUUAUAAAUCACGUAUAUAUUUUUGUUGUUGUUGUUGUUGUUGUUGUUGUUGUUGUGAAAGAUGGGACUGUUAGGUCCAGAAAAGAAAUGUACAUUUGAAUGCACAGAAAGUGACACUAUUGUGUUUUUGUUUUUUAUGUGGUUGAGCAAAAAUAUAUAUUGAUAAUGCAUUAACAUUUGUCUGCAAUGUUUUU